GACGUAGGGCGCGAGCGUUGUCCGGAUUUAUUGGGCGUAAAGAGCUCGUGGGCGGCUUGUCGCGUCGACCGUGAAAACUUGGGGCUCAACCCCAAGCCUGCGGUCGAUACGGGCAGGCUCGAGUUCGGUAGGGGAGACUGGAAUUCCUGGUGUAGCGGUGAAAUGCGCAGAUAUCAGGAGGAACACCGAUGGCGAAGGCAGGUCUCUGGGCCGAUACUGACGCUGAGGAGCGAAAGCGUGGGGAGCGAACAGG
rnacentral:rRNA from 1 species